rnacentral:rRNA from 1 species
UUUGUCCUAUGGGGCGCAGCAGUGAGGAAUAUUGGUCAAUGGGCGGGAGCCUGAACCAGCCAAGUCGCGUGAGGGAUGACGGCCCUAUGGGUUGUAAACCUCUUUUGCCGGGGAGCAAAGUGCCGCACGUGUGCGGUUUGGAGAGUACCCGGAGAAAAAGCAUCGGCUAACUCCGCGCCAGCAGCCGCGGUAAUACGGAGGAUGCGAGCGUUAUCCGGAUUUAUUGGGUUUAAAGGGUGCGCAGGCGGAUUUUUAAGUCAGCGGUCAAAUCGUGGGGCUCACCCCCAUACAGCCGUUGAAACUGG